GAUGAACGCUGGCGGCGUGCCUAAUACAUGCAAGUCGAGCGAACGGACGAGAAGCUUUCUUCUCUGAUGUUAGCGGCGCACGGGUGAGUAACACGUGGAUAACCUACCUAUAAGACUGGGAUAACUUCGUGAAACCGGUGCUAAUACCCGAUGAUAUUUUGAACCGCAUGGUUCAAAAGUUAAAGACGUUCUUGCUGUCACUUAUAGAUGGAUCCGCGCUGCAUUAGCUAGUUGGUAAGGUAACGGCUUACCAAGGCAACGAUGCAUAGCCGAUCUGAGAGGGUGAUCGGCCACACUGGAACUGAGACACGGUCCAGACUCCUACGGGAGGCAGCAGUAGGGAAUCUUGCGCAAUGGGCGAAAGCCUGACGGAGCAACGCCGCGUGAGUGAUGAAGGUCUUCGGAUCGUAAAACUCUGUUAUUGGGGAAGAACAUAUGUGUAAGUAAAUGUGCACAUCUUGACGGUACCUAAUCAGAAAGCCACGGCUAACUACGUG
rnacentral:rRNA from 1 species